rnacentral:rRNA from 1 species
UAAUACGUAGGAGGCGAGCGUUGUCCGGAGUUACUGGGCGUAAAGGGUGCGUAGGCGGCCGCGCGCGUGGCGGGUGAAAUCUCUCGGCUUACCCGGGAGGGUGCUUGCCAGACGGCGUGGCUUGAGGGACGGAGAGGGGCGUGGAAUUCCGGGUGGAGCGGUGAAAUGCGUAGAGAUCCGGAGGAACACCGACGGCGUAGGCAGCGCCCUGGCCGUUUCCUGACGCUGAUGCACGAAAGCUGGGGGAGCAAACAGGAUUAGAUACCCUGGUAGUCCCAGCCCUAAACGAUGUCCACCGGGUGCCGGGGGUAUCGACCCCCUCGGUGCCGAAGCUAACGUGAUGAGUGGACCGCCUGGGGAGUACGGCCGCAAGGUUG